rnacentral:rRNA from 1 species
GACGAACGCUGGCGGCGUGCUUAACACAUGCAAGUCGAACGGAAAGGCCCUGCUUUUGUGGGGUGCUCGAGUGGCGAACGGGUGAGUAACACGUGAGUAACCUGCCCUUGACUUUGGGAUAACUUCAGGAAACUGGGGCUAAUACCGGAUAGGAGCUCCUGCUGCAUGGUGGGGGUUGGAAAGUUUCGGCGGUUGGGGAUGGACUCGCGGCUUAUCAGCUUGUUGGUGGGGUAGUGGCUUACCAAGGCUUUGACGGGUAGCCGGCCUGAGAGGGUGACCGGCCACAUUGGGACUGAGAUACGGCCCAGACUCCUACGGGAGGCAGCAGUGGGGAAUAUUGCACAAUGGGCGGAGGCCUGAUGCAGCAACGCCGCGUGCGGGAUGACGGCCUUCGGGUUGUAAACCGCUUUCGCCUGUGACGAAGCGUGAGUGACGGUAAUGGGUAAAGAAGCACCGGCUAACUACGUGCCAGCAGCCGCGGUGAUACGUAGGGUGCGAGCGUUGUCCGGAUUUAUUGGGCGUAAAGGGCUCGUAGGUGGUUGAUCGCGUCGGAAGUGUAAUCUUGGGGCUUAACCCUGAGCGUGCUUUCGAUACGGGUUGACUUGAGGAAGGUAGGGGAGAAUGGAAUUCCUGGUGGAGCGGUGGAAUGCGCAGAUAUCAGGAGGAACACCAGUGGCGAAGGCGGUUCUCUGGGCCUUUCCUGACGCUGAGGAGCGAAAGCGUGGGGAGCGAACAGGCUUAGAUACCCUGGUAGUCCACGCUGUAAACGGUGGGUACUAGGUGUGGGGUCCAUUCCACGGGUUCCGUGCCGUAGCUAACGCUUUAAGUACCCCGCCUGGGGAGUACGGCCGCAAGGCUAAAACUCAAAGGAAUUGACGGGGCCCCGCACAAGCGGCGGAGCAUGCGGAUUAAUUCGAUGCAACGCGUAGAACCUUACCUGGGUUUGACAUGGAUCGGGAGUGCUCAGAGAUGGGUGUGCCUCUUUUGGGGUCGGUUCACAGGUGGUGCAUGGCUGUCGUCAGCUCGUGUCGUGAGAUGUUGGGUUAAGUCCCGCAACGAGCGCAACCCUUGUUCACUGUUGCCAGCACGUUAUGGUGGGGACUCAGUGGAGACCGCCGGGGUCAACUCGGAGGAAGGUGGGGAUGACGUCAAGUCAUCAUGCCCCUUAUGUCCAGGGCUUCACGCAUGCUACAAUGGCUGGUACAGAGAGUGGCGAGCCUGUGAGGGUGAGCGAAUCUCGGAAAGCCGGUCUCAGUUCGGAUUGGGGUCUGCAACUCGACCUCAUGAAGUCGGAGUCGCUAGUAAUCGCAGAUCAGCAACGCUGCGGUGAAUACAUUCCCGGG